rnacentral:rRNA from 1 species
GCUAGCUACAGGCUUAACACAUGCAAGUCGAGGGGCAGCAUGGUCUUAGCUUGCUAAGGCCGAUGGCGACCGGCGCACGGGUGAGUAACACGUAUCCAACCUGCCGUCUACUCUUGGACAGCCUUCUGCAAGGAAGAUUAAUACAAGAUGGCAUCAUGAGUCCGCAUGUUCACAUGAUUAAAGGUAUUCCGGUAGACGAUGGGGAUGCGUUCCAUUAGAUAGUAGGCGGGGUAACGGCCCACCUAGUCUUCGAUGGAUAGGGGUUCUGAGAGGAAGGUCCCCCACAUUGGAACUGAGACACGGUCCAAACUCCUACGGGAGGCAGCAGUGAGGAAUAUUGGUCAAUGGGCGAGAGCCUGAACCAGCCAAGUAGCGUGAAGGAUGACUGCCCUAUGGGUUGUAAACUUCUUUUAUAAAGGAAUAAAGUCGGGUAUGGAUACCCGUUUGCAUGUACUUUAUGAAUAAGGAUCGGCUAACUCCGUGCCAGCAGCCGCGGUAAUACGGAGGAUCCGAGCGUUAUCCGGAUUUAUUGGGUUUAAAGGGAGCGUAGAUGGAUGUUUAAGUCAGUUGUGAAAGUUUGCGGCUCAACCGUAAAAUUGCAGUUGAUACUGGAUAUCUUGAGUGCAGUUGAGGCAGGCGGAAUUCGUGGUGUAGCGGUGAAAUGCUUAGAUAUCACGAAGAACUCCGAUUGCGAAGGCAGCCUGCUAAGCUGCAACUGAUAUUGAGGCUCGAAAGUGUGGGUAUCAAACAGGAUUAGAUACCCUGGUAGUCCACACGGUAAACGAUGAAUACUCGCUGUUUGCGAUAUACUGCAAGCGGCCAAGCGAAAGCGUUAAGUAUUCCACCUGGGGAGUACGCCGGCAACGGUGAAACUCAAAGGAAUUGACGGGGGCCCGCACAAGCGGAGGAACAUGUGGUUUAAUUCGAUGAUACGCGAGGAACCUUACCCGGGCUUAAAUUGCAGAUGAAUUACGGUGAAAGCCGUAAGCCGCAAGGCAUCUGUGAAGGUGCUGCAUGGUUGUCGUCAGCUCGUGCCGUGAGGUGUCGGCUUAAGUGCCAUAACGAGCGCAACCCUUGUUGUCAGUUACUAACAGGUCAUGCUGAGGACUCUGACAAGACUGCCAUCGUAAGAUGUGAGGAAGGUGGGGAUGACGUCAAAUCAGCACGGCCCUUACGUCCGGGGCUACACACGUGUUACAAUGGGGGGUACAGAGGGCCGCUACCACGCGAGUGGAUGCCAAUCCCCAAAACCUCUCUCAGUUCGGACUGGAGUCUGCAACCCGACUCCACGAAGCUGGAUUCGCUAGUGAUCGCGCAUCAGCCACGGCGCGGUGAAUACGUUCCCGGGCCUUGUACACACCGCCCGUCAAGCCAUGGGAGCCGGGGGUACCUGAAGUGCGUAACCGCGAGGAGCGCCCUAGGGUAAAACUGGUGACUGGGGCUAA